rnacentral:rRNA from 1 species
UACGUAGGGGGCAAGCGUUGUCCGGAAUCAUUGGGCGUAAAGAGCGUGUAGGCGGUCCGGUAAGUCGGCUGUGAAAGUCCAGGGCUCAACCCUGGGAUGCCGGUCGAUACUGCCGGACUAGAGUUCGGAAGAGGCGAGUGGAAGUUCCCGGUGUAGCGGUGAAAUGCGCAGAUAUCGGGGAGGAACACCUAUGGCGAAGGCAGCUCGCUGGGACGUUA